CCCUACCGCCUUUUUUCCCAACGCUCUUGCUUCUCCUCUUCUUCCUCUCUCUCCUCCAACUAUGACGACCCAUUAACCAUUCCGUAGAGAACCCAAGAAGAAAAUCAACCGAUAGUGAGACAAGGGUCGAGAGGAAAAGCGGUUUGAUUUUUCUAAUGGGCUGCUUUCUUGCGUGCUUUGGUUCCUCCAAAGAUCGCAAACGCCGUAAACAGAGGCACAAGGUUCAACCUCGGGAGCAGAGGAAUGCAGGUUACAAUCCAGUGCAAUCAGCCGUUUCUUUGGUACAUAGCAACCUAGAAAAACCCACCAACCCAGUUUCGGAAAUCCGGGAUAAUCCUGAGAAGCAAUUGACCUUGGGUGCUCGUAAGAAAGUAACAUUCGAUUCGAGCGUGACAACCUAUGAGCAUGUUUCAGUUGAAGAAUCCGUAGAGUUUUCUGCAGAGAAUGAAGAUGGCAGCAAAAGGGAGGAGGAGGAGGAGAAUUUUGCAAAAUCAAGUCAAUCUCAGUCCUAUUCUGAAGAUGGUUCGAUCACUUCGAGCUCGGGAUCUUAUCCUUCCAAUCAUAGAUACCUGAAUUGUAGAGACAGUGAUGAUGAAUUAGACUAUGGAGAAAGUGAAAUAGAGGAUGAUGAUGAGGAGGAUGAUGAUGAGGAGGAUGAAGAUGAUGGGGUGCUAGAUUAUAAUGAUAUUUAUGAGGAUGAUGGAAUUUUAGAAUCUAGGUCUAAAGUAUCUUUGCCUAAAGGGACACCACCACCAUUUACUGAGGAGAUUGAAAGUCCUGCAGUGGUAAGUGGUUUGCCAGAGAGGGAACUGAAGCCAAAUCCGAAUGUUCGAGACAGGAGUGCUUAUGUGCAUUCUGUGCUGAACCCAGUUGAAAAUCUCACUCAAUGGAAGGCUGUGAAAGCAAAAGGGACACCACCAUUGAAGCAGCAGAAAGAGAAUUUCACUCUGGGUCAAGAACCCAGAAUUUCGUUUAGCUCUGAGCCCAGUUUCAGGGAAUUGCAAUUCUGUUUCAACAUGAAAUCUGAUCAAUCUAAGAAAUCAAACCAGGAAAUAGCAGUGGAUGCAAGCUUGUCUAACUGGUUGGGUUCAUCAGAGAACACGACAAUCAACAAGCCUAGCACAAUUGAUUUAGGUACCAUUACACCUGAGAAAAGCAUGUCACUGGGAUCAAAUUCCCCAAGAAGCUUUGAAGAUAGACCUAUUUUAGGUGCACUAACCGUGGAAGAGCUUAAGCAGAUUUCGCUUUCUUCUUCACCAAGGAGAUCACCUAGCCAUAGUCCUGAUGAGAUGGCUAUCAUUGGGACUGUUGGAACCUAUUGGAAUCACAGUGGCUCUGGCAACGAUUCUGGUUCAGUUUCUUCUUUCAAAGGAAUACCCAACACAACCAGCAAGUAUAGAGAGGUACAUGUCAAGUGAAAUUUUGUGGGAAUGCUUUUGCAUUAGGUGAUAAAUAGUAACUUAUCUGAGUUUUAUGGGUCUGCAGGACAAGAGAGUGAAUUGGCACUCUACUCCAUUUGAGACCAGGCUGGAGAGAGCUUUGAAUGGAGGAGCUGCUGCUGAAGCCUACCAUACUCACACUUUUAAUGUUCACUAAACUAUCUUGGGAGGUGUUGUUUGUGUGUCUUUUCAUCUCAAUCUUGUUGUUUUUGCUUGUGAAUUCAUGGAUAUCUGUGAUAUACGCACUUACUGUUGUUGUAAUUCUUUCAUUGCUUUUAUUGAAGAUUGAUUGUCAAUACGUUGUAAUUCAAUUAAUUUUUUUUCCUAUUCACAGUUCUUUGUGGAAGUUAAUCUGUGC
rnacentral:misc_RNA from 1 species